rnacentral:misc_RNA from 1 species
GUAGGUGAACCUGCGGAAGGAUCAUCAACAAAUCCCUCUAAAUACUCAAAACACACCUUUGUGCUCAAAACCCCCUAUAAAUCUAUGCUCUUCUCCGGUCACUUGCUGAUCAAGUGUAUGGUUUGAAUGAGAUCGUCAUUGGUUGUACGAUCCUUCCAUGCAUGAGUUGAGUGUAGGUUUUUUUUUCCCUUACAACCAAAAAAAACAACAACAUAAACUCCAAAAAAACACAAUCUUUAUCUAUCUGUUU